rnacentral:rRNA from 1 species
GAUGAACGCUGGCGGCGUGCCUAAUACAUGCAAGUCGAGCGAACAGACGAUGAGCUUGCGCCUCUGACGUGAGCGGCGGACGUGUGAGUAACACGUGUAUAACCUACCUAUAAUAGUGGUAUAACUUCGGGAAACCGGAGCUAAUACCGGAGGAUAUAUUGAACCGCAUGGUUCAAUGGUGAAAUACGGUGUUGCUGGCACUUAUCGAUGGUUCCGCGCCGCAUUAGCUAGUUGGUCAGGUAACGGCUUACCAAGGCAACGAUGCGUAGCCGAACUGACAGGGUGAUCGGCCACACUGGAAGUGAGACACGGUCCAGACUACUACGGGACGCAGCAGUAGGGAACCUUACGCAAUGGGCGAAAGCAUGACGGAGCAACGCGGAGCGAGUGAUGAAGGUCUUGGGAUCGUAAAACUCUGUUAUUAGGGAAGAACAAAUGUGUAAGUAAAUAUGCACGUAUUGACGGUAACUAAUAAGAAAGCACCGGCUAACUACGUG